AGAGAGCAAGCCCUUCCCUGACAUACCUGGUCCUUUACGGUCCCUAGAGAACCCCUACCCUGACAUACCUGGUCCUUUACAGUCCCUGCAGAACCCCUACCCUGAUACACCUGGCCCUGCAGAACCCCUACCCUGAUACACCUGGCUCUGCAGAACCCCUACCCUGACACACCACUGGCCCUGCAGAACCCCUACCCUGACACACCUGGCUCUGCAGAACCCCUACCCUGAUACACCUGGCCCUGCAGAACCCCUACCCUGAUACACAUGGCCCUGCAGAACCCCUAC